ACUUAACAGAUCUAUGGCGAUUGAAAAUUUUGGGCCUAAUUGCAAUCUCAAAGCCAUGGAACUUAUCAUUUACAGAGGAUAACCGCACAAAGGCGUUUUCUUGCUAAGGUUACAACAUAUCUCAUGUCACUGGUAAGCGGGUGUUUACAGUCGGCGAUUGCGGUUUAAAAACUGCGUGUUGGCCGGUGGGCGCUCACUAUUGCAGAUUGCAGUGAGAGAUAGGGAUCUGUGAAAAUUAUAAAAAAUGCAUCAAAAGGCAGAAGAGGAAAGAAGAAUGAAGUGAUCCGAAGAGCACUGAAGUUAGUCCGGCAUAUUUUUGGUGGAGAGGAGAAAAGAAAGAACUGACCCAGUCUGAUUGUGUCUUGUCACGAGUUUUCAUGGCAUAAGAAGGAAGGAAGAAAAUCAAAAUUUCCAGAAGAGGAAAGGCUUAUCGUUGUGGUUCAUGGGUGUAGAAACUAUGCAAGAAAUUAAGGAAGUUGUCGAGACAGUAUUGUUGCCAUUGCAACUUAGCCUUGGAAUUUUUCUGAUCAUGAAAACGACGCCUCUUUGGGCGGUAGUACAUUGCACCCUUGCCUACUUGCUCCACUGCUCCCAUUUCCCUUACACAGAUUCCAAACAGCCGCAGGGAUUCGAUGGUCGAAUCUUCAAAAAAGUGGUCUCUCAUGCCAUCACAGCAGGAAAUGUGUCGAAAGUGAAAAAGGAGAAGGAUACUGACAAUCUUAUGAAUGCAAAAUUUGAGAAUGGUAGGUCAGUCUCCGUGAACUACCUGGGCAAGAAAUUUGUACUGGAGCGAAUGGAAGGAAACGAGAUGUUAAUGAAGAAUGGGCCUACAUAUUACAUCACAGAUAAAAUGUGGGAAACUGUGCAGUACAUUGGAAAAUAGCCUCCAGAGACCGUGUUUGUGAAAAACCAUAAAGAGAUAUGGGAAGAAGUGGUCACGGGCGAUAUUAUGGAGUUUGAAGAAGUGCUUGAUUCGGUGAUAUUGGAUAACCGCAAGGUUAUUCGUCUGGACCACGAUUACUUUCUGCCUGUCAACUUGUUGUCGGAAUUUAAGUUGUUGAUGACUUUAAACUUCGUGGAUCUGUUCCUGGAUACUCAAAAGCAUAUUCAUUGGCUCAUUCCUGCAUUGCUAACAUUUACAGCGGUAGUGAUGGGGUUCAGCACAACACUGAGGCUAUCUGUUGGUGGCUUUAUCGGUAAAGUCUUGUCCAGAGGAAUACAGUGGGUGUGUGACCUACUGCCUUUGCCAAUGAGAAGGCGGGUGUACUAUUGGAGGAGCUGGGUGGAUCUUUUGAGGCCCAGUAAUGACUUGCAAUCAAAGAUUGUUAGGGGAAACAUAUCCGUGCUCAUUACCGGAGGUACAAAGUUUUACUCUCGAUCUUUUAAUGGCUGGGCCUAUAACCUUCGCUGAAGGUUUGGUAGAGGAGAUUUGCUGUGGACGUGGCCCAAUUUUGUUCAAAUGCGACUCAGAAACUGAUUCAAGCUCUCACUCAGUUUAUAUUGAGUGGAUCUUCGACAAUGCUCAGCAGAAAUGUUUGUUAAAAGCCGGUCGUGUUGCAUCAAAGGAGGUUAUGUUGAAUAAAGCAGAUGACAGUUAUAUCGUAUGUUGUGAUGGAGAUUGUAGCAGGAAGGAAAUAAAAGUCUUCACAUUUGAUUGUCGCAAGCCAAAUGAAUCUUUAAUGGCAGUUGAUAUUCAUACUGCAUCAGUGGAUAUCGAUUGUAGCAUAGAGGAGGCCAUAAAACUAUUCAUAUUUGUUGCUUACAUGGCAGAGCUAAAGUCAGGUUCACUGAAAUCUUAUGACAGCAUUUCUAGCACUGUGUAUGUCCGCCGGUUCGUAGAGUCGAUCAACGCCUAUGUCAGAAGUGGCUAUCCAGCACUCCACAUAGUAGAGUUGAAGGGUGUAGUCGUCCGCUAACAUUCCGUCAGAAGAUGCCUAAUUUUCUCUUUGAUAGCUAGUUAAAAGUGUAUUAGAGUUUUAGGAUAACUCUGUUUUUUUUCAAGUGUUG